rnacentral:rRNA from 1 species
ACGAACGCUGGCGGCAGGCUUAACACAUGCAAGUCGAACGCACCUUUCGGGGUGAGUGGCAGACGGGUGAGUCACGCGUGGGAAUCUACCCUUCUCUACGGGAUAGCUCCGGGAAACUGGAAUUAAUACCGUAUACGUCCUGAGGGAGAAAGAUUUAUCGGGGAAGGAUGAGCCCGCGUUGGAUUAGCUAGUUGGUGGGGUAAAGGCCUACCAAGGCGACGAUCCAUAGCUGGUCUAAGAGGAUGAUCAGCCACAUUGGGACUGAGACACGGCCCAAACUCCUACGGGAGGCAGCAGUGGGGAAUAUUGGACAAUGGGCGCAAGCCUGAUCCAGCCAUGCCGCGUGAGUGAUGAAGGCCCUAGGGUUGUAAAGCUCUUUCAGUGGGGACGAUAAUGACGGUACCCACAGAAGAAGCCCCGGCUAACUUCGUG